UUAAAAAGCUUUCAAACUGGGAUUAGAUACCCCACUAUGCUUAGCCCUAAACAUUAAUAGCACCCCACACAGCUAUUCGCCAGGGAACUACGAGCAUGAGCUCAAAACCCAAAGGACUUGGCGGUGCUUAAGAUCCACCUAGAGGAGCCUGUUCUAGAACCGAUACCCCCCGUUCAACCUCACCCUCUCUUGACCUUUCCGCCUAUAUACCGCCGUCGUCAGCUUACCCUGUGAAGGAACCAUAAUAAGCAAAACUGGCACAGCCCCAAACGUCAGGUCGAGGUGCAGCGUAUGAGAGGGGAAGAAAUGGGCUACAUUGACUACUUUAGUGAAUACGAAUGAUGCGCUGAAACGCACAUCCGAAGGAGGAUUUAGCAGUAAGCAGAGAAUAGAGCGCUCCGCUGAAAUAGGCUCUAAAGCGCGCACACACCGCCCGUCACCCUCUGCAGUCAA
rnacentral:rRNA from 1 species